ACGGUGACCUAUAGUUGUUUAUUUCUGUGUCGAAUGGUCUCUUGACAAUCAUACAACAUCUUUUUUAUACUCAUUAUUUUUUACUUUCGUUUUUUCAUACUUCUGGGUUACAUCUACUCUAUAUAUACUUUUUUUAAUACUUAUAAGAGGAUCUAGAUUUGGAGGGUCUUCAUCCUUAAAUUCUUUAAUUUUUUAAGGUUAUUCUUCUUAACUCUCUCUACUUUGUGCCCAUUUUUUUUAUUCUUUAUAUUUUAGCAUCCCAUCAUUCUCUAAUCCGGAUCUUGUUUUAACUAUUUCUUAAUCUAUUCCCAAAUUUUUGGUCCAUUUUUUAAAUAGAUUUAGCCCAUUAUUUUCUGUACUGAAAACUCCAUCCUCACCCUCAUAUAUUGUUAAAAACUGUAUUAUAGUUAACCUUAUCCCAAUGUUUGGUAUUAUUUCGUGGAAAUUUUAACACAAGGACAGUCAAAAAACUUUAAAUCUCUGAUCGAUAUGGUCUGAUAUCAAUGAACAAAAAUGUGACAUAUCACAUAUUAUCAGAGAUAUUUUGAACUUG
rnacentral:lncRNA from 1 species